GACGUAUGCCAUCCGCCGCCUGUUGGUCUUUCACAGUUGGUGACGAGUGUUGUGAAAAUGGCCUCGACCCUGCCCGUGAGCACGAAUAACCGGAGAAGAUGACGACGUUGAGCUUCUUAAGUCGGUUGAACACCAAAGUGUCCUCCUUGAACACGUAGAUAACAGAGACGUGAACAAAAAACAAGAGACUCUCGGAGGAGAAACGCCUAAAAAAUACCACAGAGGACCGCAAAAAAUUCCGCUGGCUGGCUGAGGAGCCACUAUGGAGGAUAUCAACUCUAAUAUCAACGCCGACUUGGAGGUGCGGAAGCUCCAGGACUUGGUGAAGAAACUCGAACAGCAGAACGAGCAGCUCCGGAGCAGGUCUACGAUGUUGUCCUCGUCCGGGGCCAUGUCAGGGAAUCACAGACCCCUCAGCGCCGGAUACGACUCGUCGUCCCUGUCAGCGGGGAUGGCAGCCGGUCUGGCCGGCUUCCCUGGGGUGGGGUUCGUCGGUACGGGCGGCUACAGUGGGCUGCUGGAGAACAACCGCUGCUUGAGCCCCAGACUGUCGUACGACGGCAUCAGCUUCAGGAGGGCGUAUGAAUGUGAGGGAGCUUCCGCUGCCACCAGUAUGAACUCACUUUAUUCAGACACCACCGGGGGCUUCAUGGACGAAGCAGAAACCUCAAUCCUGGAUGAAGUGGAAAUCUUAGACCUCGAAGACAUGGAUUGUCUACACGAAGACGAGGACAGCUGGUUGUAUGAGGCAAAACUCAAUAGUCCCCUGCAAAAAUCCUUGAGUCCUGUUGUGUGGUGUCGCCAAGCUCUGGACAACCCCAGUCCUGAGAUGGAAUCAGCCAAGCGCUCCCUCAUCCACAGACUGGACCUCACCAUGUCAGCCAACAAGCGCAGGAGCCUGUAUGGAAGUCCGUACAACCAGCAGGGUUAUGGAAGCCCGUAUAGCACAAAUGCAGCCAACAGCCCCUACAGCAGUGGCUUCAACUCCCCCUCCUCAACCCCCAGCAGAGUGCCCAUAGUCAGACAGCAGUUAUUGCCCAGUAACGCAGUACACCAGCGAAACGCAGCAGCAGACAGGAAUCCUCCGGCUAUCAGUCCACAGUCCUCAGUGGACAGCGAGCUCAGUACGUCAGAAAUGGAUGAGGACUCAGUGGGCUCCUCGACUACCUACAAACUCAAUGAUGUCACUGAUGUCCAGAUACUGGCACGCAUGCAGGAAGAGAGUUUGAGACAAGACUACGCUGCGACGGCAUCCAGACGGAGCUCGGGUUCGUCCUGCCACUCACUGCGGCGCAGCACCUUCAGCGACCAGGAGUUAGACGCACACAGUCUGGAGGACGAGGAGGAGGCGGUGCAUCCGGCCUUCCACCUGCCCUCCAACCGCUUCAGCCCCUCCCCUCGCCACUCUCCCCGUGCCUCCCCCAGGAACUCUCCUCGCUCGCGCUCCCCAGCUCGGUCCAUCGACUACAGCCACAGCCGCGGCUCACCUCAGCCCAUCAUCAGCCGCCUGCAGCAGCCUCGCCACUCGCUGCAGGGCCAUGGGCAUGACAUGCAGACCAACGUGGUGAAGAAUGAGGAAAAGCUGCGUCGUAGUCUUCCCAACCUCACGCGCUCCUCAGCGGCGUCUGCAGUUCAGGCAGCAGAACCCGUCAAGAACAGCCGCAGCUGCGAGUCCAACCUGCAAGUGCCAAACGGAGGCUCUCCUCGACACCAGAACCAGUCUGCGACAGCAGCUCAGCUCUCGAGAUACUCGCCCCCCUCUCGCUCCUCCCCGAAACCCAAACAGCACCUCCAACGCCCAACUGCCCUGCGAGGUAACAGCCUGCUCCUCAACCAGCCGGGGGCUGUGAGGGUGAUCUUCCACAGACAUAUGCACAAUUUAUGACGUACUAACGUCACCUUCCGGUGUACUGACGGUAUAUGGACUACUGAUGAGAGUAAAUGAUAAAUUGGCUAUAUUUAUGGACUUGAAGUGGAUGUGAGGAAAGUGUAUUAAUGCAUUCGUUGCCAGCUUGUCCUUUGAAGCUCUGAGACUGAGGAGUAACUCUGAGUGCAGUUUCAGCAUCUGUUUUUGUUGCUUUCUUGGCGAGAAAAAAGGACGUUGGUAGGUGAAGCAUGGUGCUUAUAGUAACUGCCACAGGUGUGCCACCACUAAAGAAGGAUUUAACAUUCACAAUUGAAUGUGAAUGUUGACUAAUGAAAGGAUUAUGUUCAGCUGUUUCUGCACACAAACACAUCAGUUCUACCACAGGCUCAGUAAUAAGCUUAUACAUUCAUUACUGUCUUCAUUACGUACAAUGUUAAGUUUUACUGUCAACUUUAGUCAGUUGAAUUAUUUAUUGUGUUUUGUACAGACUACAUUGUCAUUGCAGAUAUUCUUUGACUUUUUAAUAAAAAUUCUAUUUUAUAUUUUUACAAAAAUCAGCGUUACCAGUGGAGUCUGUGAUUCUGGAGGACAUGUACUGCCAUUUAGAGAGUUAGCAUAGAUAGUUAGCAUGCACCUGAUUUAACAUCUCUUUUCUUCCCACAAUGAUAAUCAUCUGCAUUUUUCUGAUCAAACCUGGCACCUCGUUUACCCACAAUGCAUCUCAGCUGCUUGGGUGUGUUGUGCUGUUACAGGCUAAUGUAGCCUUGAGUCUUUUGCCUAAAGCAGAUAUAAGGAGGGGCUACAGAGCUGUAGUAUUUUCAUUGAUUUCUAACUGCAUUUUCAGAUUGUAGUCUUUAAAGUGACUGAAACUGAGGUUAUCAAACUUUCUACAGCUCCCUCUGGAGACACUAGGCUCUAACCAACCCUUUUACAUACCAUAUAGAAUAAUGCUUACCAACAAUGGAGACACAAACUCUCUUCAGGCAUCAGAUAUGUAGCAUUCCUGCAUCACCAAUCUGCUAAAGUGACAGCAUUCUGUCAUUCAGACACUGAUCAGUUUUAAGUUCAUGUUCCUCACGGCUUCAUUUAGGAAUGUCAGCCACAGUGGCUGAGAGUCAUAAUGUGCGUGCAAAACACUAAACUAACUGCACGCUUAUGAAUCUGUCCAAAAACUAAGAGCUCAGUUUAUUUAUGAUAUCCUGAACACUUAAGUUUUUAUUUACAACUUGUGAUAGUGUAACCACUACUUUACCAACAGUGAAAUAAAAAUAUCCUUCCAGCUGUGAUGGAACUCAGGAUUUAGCCUGAACAAAUGAGCUGAUUGUAACUUACAAACUGUGACUUGGAAGAAAAGUCUACAGUGUGAUUUGCCGUUUGAUCUCGACCAAUCCUGACUCCAUGUCAGGGAUAAUUGAUAAUUGUUAGUAAUUAAUGAAGUUGCAUGUGUUGUUCCAUGUGCGUAAAUAAACACAACUCUCACUUUGGAGAUGCUCAUAUAGAGGUAUUUAAGAAACUCAGAGGAAAGAUUCCUACAAACAGCCGGAAGCAACAAACUAAACUUUAAUUUCUGUUAAAGUUUUGUAAAACCUACUCUAUCAUGUGAUAAAACGUGACUGCUAGGGACAUUUCUUUGCUUCACACAAUGUGGAGAAAGUUGCUUGUGCAUACCUAUGUGCUAAUGUGACUACAUGUAGUUCAGACUUGUGCAGUGUUGAAAAUGAUGCAUAAAAGUUGUUAGGUAAAAGCCUGUACCAUUGCCGUGGUAACUUUAAUGGAGAAGUGACCAGCGUGUUUAUUCAGACAAAAAGCCGACACGUUCAGAUGUCGUCAGAUUACCAGAAAGGAGAGCAUGCCUGAAAGAGUUUGAUGAGAUCUCCUUUAACUUUUCAUACGAUAUGGACCAAGGCUACAUUACAGCACACAACCUACUCCCUCACCCCCCAUCACUGCUCACAGCUACAAUUUCUACUCAGGCUAGUUGACGGUAAAGCAUACCUUUUUCCAUGGCAUAUAGGUUUGUUGCUUCUGUUGGUCGAGAGCCAUGUAAGUUUGUUCAGAAAACAAACGGGCAGAAAGAGACACCGCAUUAAACCCCACCCUCGGCACCUUCCUCCCUGCUCUGAAUUAAGGCUUGUCUCUGUUGUCUUCGUCUUUGUCUAGUCCCACUCUCCUGUUGCUUUGGAGAAGAAGGUGAUUUCAUCCCAUCUCCCAGUAAGCUGCGAACGCCUGCCCCGUCCCCGCUGGCCUUGAGGCAGCCUGUAAAGGCCACAUCCACCCCUAAUUCU